GACGAACGCUGGCGGCGUGCCUAAUACAUGCAAGUCGAGCGCAGGAAGCCGUCUGAACCCUUCGGGGGGACGACGGUGGAAUGAGCGGCGGACGGGUGAGUAACACGUAAAGAACCUGCCCAUAGGUCUGGGAUAACCACGAGAAAUCGGGGCUAAUACCGGAUGUGUCAUCGGACCGCAUGGUCCGCUGAUGAAAGGCGCUCCGGCGUCGCCCAUGGAUGGCUUUGCGGUGCAUUAGCUAGUUGGUGGGGUAACGGCCCACCAAGGCGACGAGGCAUGGCCGACCUGGGAGGGUGAUCGGCCACACUGGGACUGAGACACGGCCCAGACUCCUACGGGAGGCAGCAGUAGGGAAUCUUCCACAAUGGACGAAAGUCUGAUGGAGCAACGCCGCGUGAACGAUGAAGGCUUUCGGGUCGUAAAGUUCUGUUGUAAGGGAAGAACAAGUGCCGCAGGCAAUGGCGGCACCUUGACGGUACCUUGCGAGAAAGCCACGGCUAACUACGUGCCAGCCGCCGCUGUAA
rnacentral:rRNA from 1 species